ACGCUGGCGUAGCAGGAUUUCGCGGUAGGUGCUUUCCUGUAGCAGCUUGGUGACUGGUUCAGAUUCCAGCGCCAGCGUGC
rnacentral:tRNA from 1 species